UCUCAUCAAUCUCAUAUUUCUUUUUCUUUGUAAAUUUUUUUUGACAAUUUGUUCAAUUUGUGCUUUUCAAUGGUUAUUUUUUAAAAAUGAAGCCAAACUUUAGCAACUAAUUGAUGACUUCAAUGGAUUUGAUGUUAGGGACACAUUUUACAGGGUCUGGAAUUGAGAUUGGCAAAUGCAAUCAAGACUCAAACCAUUUGUUGAGCAGACAGUUCAUGGGUUUUCAAGCACAACUGGCGUCCUCAUUCCCAUACAAUUUUCU